CAGACAGGCUCCCCGCCAUUAAGGGCGCUGCGGAUUUACCUCCCCUGGGGGCAGGCCAGGAGCGGAGGGAGCCUGCACCCGGACCAGGAGCAGUGCCGGGGGGAAGUGGAGGGGUGGGGGAGACCCUCCCAGCUGUGCGGGGCAGCUCUGCCAGGGCCGAGAUGUGGCCGGACCCUCCCGCUGCCGCGGAGAAACCCCGUGGCAGGCAGCGCCGUCAGCAGGUG